rnacentral:rRNA from 1 species
UACGUAGGGUCCGAGCGUUGUCCGGAAUUACUGGGCGUAAAGAGCUCGUAGGUGGUUUGUCGCGUUGUUCGUGAAAACUCACAGCUUAACUGUGGGCGUGCGGGCGAUACGGGCAGACUUGAGUACUGCAGGGGAGACUGGAAUUCCUGGUGUAGCGGUGGAAUGCGCAGAUAUCAGGAGGAACACCGGUGGCGAAGGCGGGUCUCUGGACUGUAACUGACGCUGAGGCGCGAAAGCGUGGGGAGCAAACAGG